rnacentral:misc_RNA from 1 species
UCAACCAUCAAGCCUGGCUUGUCGUUGGACCUCUUUACGGUUGAAAUAUAUCGUAGGUCCGAAAGAUAAUGACGGUGUCGUGUUUGACCCUAAAUGCAACGAGCUUUUAAUAGCACGCAUUGAAGUGGUCAGGCGACCCGGUCUUAACCAUUUAUUUUCUUAA